AACAUUGAUGAGUUCUUUGAUUAUUCCAGUAGGGCAGUUCAACAAAAUUACAGAUGCCCUUCUAAAGAGUAUUUCAAAGGGAAGGAAUGGAGGGCUUCACUAUUGUCCUCCUAAAGAAAAUUAUCCUGAUUGGUUAGUUUUUGAACAUGAGGGAUCUUCAGUGUCAUUUGAAGUUCCUGAAGUUUCUGGUCAUAGCUUAAAGGGAAUGGUCCUCAGCGUUAUCUAUUCAUCUCUUCAAGGUAGCAUGGUAUCUGUAAACUCUAUUGGUCUCAUGAUAAAGAAUUUCACAAAGGCUACCAUGCAUUUCUACGAGCAAGAAGUCACAAUAAUUACUUCUGCCAAUGAAGAAUGGCAGAACAUAGUAUCUAAUUUGGAGCCUGGAAAUGAGGUGGAAAUUGAAAUCAAGUUUGCAUACAAACAUAUUGUGAUGAAGAAGACUGCAGUUUAUCUUUUAUAUGUUGAAGAAACUGACAAGCUGAUCCCUCUAGAUGGCAUUCAAUCAUAAGGUUAAGGUGAAUUAUCUUUAGAAGAAAACCACUACCAUAAAAAGAACUUGUUUCCCAGCCAGUUAAAGGACCAAGCACUUCAACAAUGGAAGCUGAAAGUACAGCCUAAAGUGAAGCAUUUCCUCUGGCAGCCUAAAGUGAAGCAUUUCCUCUGGCAUGCCUGUCACAAUAGAGAACUGGUGCUCUACUAGAAGGUCUUCUCAAUUGUGGCUCAGGUGACCCUGAGCAGUGCACGGAUGCUACCAGACGAUGACUCAUGGAUAGCUCAAUUCUGUGUUUCCUUCUAACACAAGUACUGUAGAUGCGAAGUGGCCUCUUUCUUGGCCUGUGAGCUCAAACUGAAUACUUAUGCAGCAUUUGGCUUUAGUUAUCUCAAAGCGUGAAGCUGCUUUCUGCUAUAUAUGCUGCGGCACUUGCUUUUAGGACUAAACCAAAUAAUUUGGUCUGUGAUAAAGCUUUAGUUGAAACUGAUUGUAGUUUUCUAGUUGAUUUUGUAAAGGGUCAUAUUACAGGGCCAGGUUUUAUCUUAGUUCAUUAGGCCCCAAUGUAGCAAUUUGGUAGCAGAUUGAUCAGAAGAGAAGGCAAAGGGGAUGUGAAUUUUUGGGUGAAUGAAUCUGUUUUAUGAACCAGUUAA